ensembl:lncRNA novel transcript
GCAAGGUAUGACAGAAGAGAGCCAGUAAUGCCCAUAUCUCCAGCUGCCAGGGAGUGGGGCAAAUUUGCCGUAGAGACGGGGUUUCACCGUGUUAGCCAGGAUGGUCUCGAUCUCCUGACCUCGUGAUCUGCGCACCUCGGCCUCCCAAAGUGCUGGGAUUACAGAUAUGAACCAUCGCGCCCGGCCCAGAAGAUGACUUCUUGACUCCUCUCUCUCCGUAUCUGACACUACUUCAUUCUUUACCAGGAAACAAGAAAGUCAGCUGUGUGGAAGACAAUGACUCAUAUACUUUUGCUGUACUACUUGGUGUUUCUUUUGCCCACAGAGUCCUGUAGGACAUUGUAUCAGGCUGCAAGCAAAAGCAAGGAGAAGGUGCCUGCCAGGCCACACGGUGUAUGCGAUGGUGUCUGUACAGACUACUCCCAGUGUACUCAACCUUGCCCUCCAGACACUCAGGGAAAUAUGGGGUUUUCAUGCAGGCAAAAGACAUGGCACAAGAUCACUGACACCUGCCAGACUCUUAAUGCCCUCAACAUCUUUGAGGAGGAUUCACGUUUGGUUCAGCCAUUUGAAGACAAUAUAAAAAUAAGUGUAUAUACUGGAAAGUCUGAGACCAUAACAGAUAUGUUGCUACAAAAGUGUCCCACAGAUCUGUCUUGUGUAAUUAGAAACAUUCAGCAGUCUCCCUGGAUACCAGGAAACAUUGCCGUAAUUGUGCAGCUCUUACACAACAUAUCAACAGCAAUAUGGACAGGUGUUGAUGAGGCAAAGAUGCAGAGUUACAGCACCAUAGCCAACCACAUUCUUAACAGCAAAAGCAUCUCCAACUGGACUUUCAUUCCUGACAGAAACAGCAGCUAUAUCCUGCUACAUUCAGUCAACUCCUUUGCAAGAAGGCUAUUCAUAGAUAAACAUCCUGUUGACAUAUCAGAUGUCUUCAUUCAUACUAUGGGCACCACCAUAUCUGGAGAUAACAUUGGAAAAAAUUUCACUUUUUCUAUGAGAAUUAAUGAUACCAGCAAUGAAGUCACUGGGAGAGUGUUGAUCAGCAGAGAUGAACUUCGGAAGGUGCCUUCCCCUUCUCAGGUCAUCAGCAUUGCAUUUCCAACUAUUGGGGCUAUUUUGGAAGCCAGUCUUUUGGAAAAUGUUACUGUAAAUGGGCUUGUCCUGUCUGCCAUUUUGCCCAAGGAACUUAAAAGAAUCUCACUGAUUUUUGAAAAGAUCAGCAAGUCAGAGGAGAGGAGGACACAGUGUGUUGGCUGGCACUCUGUGGAGAACAGAUGGGACCAGCAGGCCUGCAAAAUGAUUCAAGAAAACUCCCAGCAAGCUGUUUGCAAAUGUAGGCCAAGCAAAUUGUUUACCUCUUUCUCAAUUCUUAUGUCACCUCACAUCUUAGAGAGUCUGAUUCUGACUUACAUCACAUAUGUAGGCCUGGGCAUUUCUAUUUGCAGCCUGAUCCUUUGCUUGUCCAUUGAGGUCCUAGUCUGGAGCCAAGUGACAAAGACAGAGAUCACCUAUUUACGCCAUGUGUGCAUUGUUAACAUUGCAGCCACUUUGCUGAUGGCAGAUGUGUGGUUCAUUGUGGCUUCCUUUCUUAGUGGCCCAAUAACACACCACAAGGGAUGUGUGGCAGCCACAUUUUUUGUUCAUUUCUUUUACCUUUCUGUAUUUUUCUGGAUGCUUGCCAAGGCACUCCUUAUCCUCUAUGGAAUCAUGAUUGUUUUCCAUACCUUGCCCAAGUCAGUCCUGGUGGCAUCUCUGUUUUCAGUGGGCUAUGGAUGCCCUUUGGCCAUUGCUGCCAUCACUGUUGCUGCCACUGAACCUGGCAAAGGCUAUCUACGACCUGAGAUCUGCUGGCUCAACUGGGACAUGACCAAAGCCCUCCUGGCCUUCGUGAUCCCAGCUUUGGCCAUCGUGGUAGUAAACCUGAUCACAGUCACACUGGUGAUUGUCAAGACCCAGCGAGCUGCCAUUGGCAAUUCCAUGUUCCAGGAAGUGAGAGCCAUUGUGAGAAUCAGCAAGAACAUCGCCAUCCUCACACCACUUCUGGGACUGACCUGGGGAUUUGGAGUAGCCACUGUCAUCGAUGACAGAUCCCUGGCCUUCCACAUUAUCUUCUCCCUGCUCAAUGCAUUCCAGGGUUUCUUCAUCCUAGUGUUUGGAACCAUCCUGGAUCCAAAGAUAAGAGAAGCCUUAAAGGGUUGAGUAGCCUCUGCAAAAAGGAGCUCCAGAAUAUCAGAGAAUGCUUCUUCUGAAUUAUCUUGUCAUCCCAUCAAAGGCCCAAGUUAACAAACCAGGCUACAUCCCUAACCUAGGAGGAAUGGCAGAGCCCAAAGGAGAAAUGUGCUCAUUCCUGUCUUCUUGCUUCUGGAGAAUAUGUAGGAAGCUCACACAUGUGGUGCUGAUGGAGGAGGGCGUGAUGUGCAGAAAGGAUGAAAGGCUCCUCUGUCUAAGCUGUUCUGUGCUACUAAACAUUUCUCGUCCAUCAACUGUACAUAGCUACAUAUGUCAUGCUGGGCAG